rnacentral:rRNA from 1 species
UACGUAGGUGGCAAGCGUUGUCCGGAUUUACUGGGUGUAAAGGGCGUGUAGCCGGGCUGACAAGUCAGAUGUGAAAUCCGGGGGCUCAACCCCCGAACUGCAUUUGAAACUGUUGGUCUUGAGUAUCGGAGAGGCAGGCGGAAUUCCUAGUGUAGCGGUGAAAUGCGUAGAUAUUAGGAGGAACACCAGUGGCGAAGGCGGCUCUCUGGCCUGUAACUGACACUGAGGCUCGAAAGCGUGGGGAGCAAACAGG